rnacentral:lncRNA from 10 species
CAGAUCUAGUGGAUUCUAAUUUGCCAGUGAGUGCAAGAGGACUGAGCAUUGAAAUGUUUUAGGCUCUAUGAAUUCUGAGAAGUCAGAAACUAAAGUUCCCUUCUAAGACAAAAUCCUGCUUUGGAGAAAAAAAAAAAUUAUCGGAGUAAAGUCUAAGCUGAGUUGAAAAAAAAAGGUGAAAAGGAAAGAGGUCAAAAUAAAAAUGAAGAGGAAGAUGGGACGGGAUACAGAGUAGGCAGAUCUCAGAAAAUCUGACUAUAUUUGUAUCACUCUGUGAACACACCAGAUGGGCAUCCUGGGAGCCAUGAAGCUAGAAGAAAUCCUGGCUCACUCAUUUCACUUGAAAAUGACCAACAGAAAAGAAAAAGCAGUUGAAUCCCAUACAA